rnacentral:rRNA from 1 species
UGGGGAAUCUUGCGCAAUGGGCGAAAGCCUGACGCAGCAACGCCGCGUGAGUGAAGAAGGCCUUUGGGUUGUAAAGCUCUUUCGACUGGGAAGAAGGGUCGCAUUGCGAAUAGUUAUGCGAUUUGAUUGUACCAGGAGAAGAAGCCACGGCUAGCUUCGUGCCAGCAGCCGCGGUAAUACGAAGGUGGCAAGCGUUGUUCGGAAUCAUUGGGCGUAAAGGGCGCGUAGGCGGAUUUGUAAGUCGGUUGUGAAAUCCCUGGGCUUAACCUGGGAAUUGCAUUCGAAACUGCAAGUCUUGAGUACUGGAGAGGAUGGUGGAAUUCCUGGAGUAGAAGUGAAAUUCGUAGAUAUCAGGAGGAACACCGGAGGCGAAGGCGGCCAUCUGGCCAGUCACUGACGCUGAGGCGCGAAAGCGUGGGGAGCAAACAGG